AUAACACAUUUGCUUUAUUAUUUAAUAAGGUGCACAAUAUGAAUUGGUCAAAUAUUUAAGAAUAAUAUUACGAUUUCAGUUACUUCUUGUCAGUUUGUAUUAUUGCUCCAGUAGAACAAUAUUUACCCAAGUCACAAGUAAACUAUAAGUGGAAUUUUAUAUCCACUAUUAAUGAAGAACAUGGUGUUCUGCUUUUUAAUAUAAAUAUAUAACUUAUAUAAAUAUAAUUAUCUAAGGAUAUUGCCUAGUCUUAACUGAAGAUGCAAUUUUGCUGUAUUUUCUUUUAUGUGUAUAUGAGGAUGUCUGUAUGGGGAUGUCUGCAUGUGAGUUCAAAUGCCCACUGAAAUCUGAGUUGUUGGACCCAGGGAGCCUAAGUAACAGGCAAUUCUGAGCAGCCUGGCAAGAGUGCUAGAAACCAAACUGAGUAGGCUCUUAAUUACCAAGUUACCUCUCCUACCUCCAGGAUAUUCAAUUAAAAAUUGCAAAUUCUUCCAAGGAUCUUCUUAAAUAUCUUUUAGAGAUUUUUUUUCAGUGAAAACUGAAGAGAGUAACAACUGAAAUAUUUUUCUGAAAUGCUCAAUUGCAUUGCCUCCUUUUAUAUUUGUGGUAUUGAUGAUGCUACUGUUAUCAAAUCAUUACUGUGCACCUGACAAUAUGUAACCUCCAGAGCAUAUUUCAGAAAAUAUAUUCACAGACUUUUACUAACAUUAUUAGCCAUGCAGGUGGUACCAUGACCCUUUAUUUACAAGAAAAAUGUAUGAGUGCUUAAAAGAUUUAUCCUUCAGUUUUAUAAUAAAAGAAGUUGAGUUAAAUCUUAAUCCAUGGUCUUUGAAUGGUUUAUUUAAUCCUUUAAAAUAUAAUACAAUUCAUUUAACAUGGCUAUAAAAUUGACCUUUUACUGGAAAUUACGGUCUAAAUUUAAAAUCAUUUGUUUUCUAUAGAACUUUCAUAACUUUCUAAUGUCAUUGGGCUUCUUAGCAGAUCUUAUUCUCACAUCAACGUAAAUGGGUUUGGAGGGCCCUUAUAUGUAAGAAAAAUUUAAUCCCAUAUGUCAAUAAAUAGAUUAUUACAUCAUUAUAAUACUGAAUACCUCUUUGUUUAAUGCUGAUUGUGAAAAUUGAAACCAAAAGUAAAUUGGUAAAUGUUUACAGUUCAAAAGCAAGAACUGAGUUGAUGACUUUAAAAAGAGAAAAGAGAGCAAGAGAGAAUAAGGAACAUAGUUCUCACAUAAAGAAAAAGACAAGCUAUCUGAAGUAUAUCCUUUCCUGUGUAAGAAAGCAUUUAUUGAUGUGUCAUUUUGAUGGGGCAUACUUGUAGAAAGCAUACUUAAUGAGUCUUAAGUAGAAAGUGCUGAAUUGCUGGCACUGGAACAAAAUCACUUUCUAUAACCUACUAAAGACCAAGAGGAAAUAUUAUAUAAAUUAGUAAGGAAGAUGGAUGUGAUGAUUAUUAAGUGCCUGGCCCAUGAGAAAGAAAACAACAUCAGGAGUUUGUGCCCUUCUGGGUAUAGGAAGAUCAUGUAUUUACUCGUACAUGUGUUUGUUUGUUUGUCAAAUUUUUAUUACAGGUAAGGAAUACCAGUCAGUGCACAUGUGCUAGGAAUUAAUUCACCACAAUGUGUCUUAUGAAGCUUAUUUUUGAGUAGGUGCCAUACAUAAACGUGCUCAGUGAAACCACAGUUGGAUAUGACUAAGUGCUCAAAAUAAUGGAAGUCAGAACGAUUCUCAGGAUUGCAGUAUUAUGCAGAAUAGUUAGGAAAUAUUUGUCGGAGGAGACAACGUCAAAGACAGAAAAAAAAAAACUAGGUACCACUAGGGUUUCCUGAAAGUUACUAUUCUAGCAUAAGAACUUCUAGUAAUCAAAUGGGAUUUUCUUCAAGAUUGUAUAAAAUCUUGUGAGUAUCUGAAACUGUAUUUAGAUACAUGAGUGGAUGACAAGAGACCUGAUGAUGAUGAUGAUGAAACUGGAGUCCUCAUUGUAAAUAGUUUAUCACUUUUUAGUGUAAGUAAAGAAUAAACUUGUAUUUCAGUAGAGCCAUAAUGUUGUUAUUUUGAUGUUAAAUUGGGUUAAUGAAGAGGAAAACGGUCUUCUAAAGAACAUGACUUGAGAGAAAAAAGAAAUAGUCC
rnacentral:lncRNA from 1 species